rnacentral:rRNA from 1 species
AACGAACGCUGGCGGCGUGCCUAACACAUGCAAGUCGAGCGCGAAUAGGGGCAACCCUUAGUAGAGCGGCGCACGGGUGCGUAACACGUGGGUAAUCUGCCCAAAAGUCUGGGAUAACCAAGCCGAAAGGUUGGCUAAAUACCGGUUAAGCCUACGGGGACUUUGGUUCCUGGGGGAAAAGGUGGCCUCUGUACACAAGCUAUCGCUUUUGGGAUGAGCCCGCGGCCCAUCAGCUAGUUGGCGGGGUAAUGGCCCACCAAGGCAACGACGGGUAGCUGGUCUGAGAGGACGAUCAGCCACACUGGAACUGAGACACGGGUCCAGACUCCUACGGGAGGGCAGCAGUGGGGAAUUUUGCGCAAUGGGCGAAAGCCUGACGCAGCAACGCCGCGUGUGUGAUGAAGGUCUUUGGAUUGUAAACCUCUUUCAGCAGGGACGAAGCGUAAGUGACGGUACCUGCAGAAGAAGCGCCGGCCAACUACGU